UUCCUUCUGCUGACAGUAGGUUUUGUUUGUUCUUCUUUUUCUCAUUCUUUGAGGUGGAAUGUUAGAUUUUGCUUUGAGGUUUUUCUUGUUUUAAAGGAAGGCCUGUUAUCACUAUGAACUUCCCUCUGAGAACUGUUUUUGCCACAUCCCCUAGAUUUUGUAUGGUUAUGUUUUCAUUGUCAUUUGUCUCAGGAUAUUUUUUAUUUUGUUUUUGUUUUUUUGUCUUUUUGCCUUUUCUAGGGCCACUCUCACGGCAUGUGAAGGUUCCCAGGCUAGGGGUCAAACCAGAGCUGUAGCCACUGGCCUACGCCACAGCCACAGCAACGCGGGAUCCGAGCCGCAUCUGUGACCUAUACCACAGCUCACGGCAACACCGAAUCCUUAACCCGCUGAGCAAGGCCAGGGAUCGAACCUGUAACCUCAUGGUUCCUAGUCAGAUUCGAUAACCACUGCGCCAUGACAGGAACUCCUCAGGAUAUUUUUUAAUUCCUUUUUUAUUUCCUUGUUGAUGCAUUGGUAUUUUAGUAGCAUAUUGUUGAGUCUCUGUGUGGUCAGCUUAUUCUCAUUUAUUUUCCUGUGGCUUAUUUCUCAUUUCAUGUUAGUGUGGUCAAAGAAGAUACUCGAAAUAAUUUCUAAACUCUUAAAAUUGCUCGAGGUUAUUUUCAUGGCCCAGUACAUAGUGUCCUAAAGAAUGUUCCAUGUGCACUUGAAAAGAGUGUAUACUCUGGUUUUUUGGCUGUAAUGUCCUGAAAAUGUCAAUUAAGUCUAACUUUUUUCUAUUGCGUCAUUUAGGAUCUCUGCUGCCUCACUGGUUUUCUGUCGAGAGGAUCUGUCCGUUGAUGUGAGGGGUGUUGAAGUCUCCUGCUCUUGCGUUCCCAGGCUAGGGGCUGAAUUGGAGCUACAGCUGCCGACCUACACCAUGGCCACAGCGAUGUUAGCCCUGAGCUGCGUCUGCGACCUGCACCACAGCUCACGGCAACAACAGAUCCUUAACCCACUGAGUGAGGCCAGGGGUUGAACCUGCAACCUCAUGAUUCCUAGUUGGAUUUGUUUCUGCUGCACCACGAUGGGAACGCCUAUUUCUUGUUUUUUAUUUGUGGUCGCUUUGUUUUCCAAGUAUGUUAACCCUUUCCUGUGUCUGCUGACUUUAGACUAAUGAUCACAUAGGCUCAAACACUCUAAAGAAUCUAUAUUUCCUUUCCUUCUUUUUUUUUUUUUUUCCUCUUUUUUCUUUAGAGCCACACCAACAGCAUUUGGAGGUUCCCAGGCUAGGGGUUGAAUUGGAGCCAUAGCUGCUGGCCUACCCCACAGCCACACCAAUGCCAGAUCCAAGCUGCAUCUGCAACCUACACCAAAGCUCACAGCAAGUCCUUAACCCACUGAGCAAGCCCAGGGAUCGAACCCACAUCCUUAUGGUUGCUAGUCACGUUUGUUGCUGCUGAGCCACAAGGACUCUCUGUCUUCUCACUCUUCUUCCCCGCUUCUUAGGCGUUUGACCUUUUUCACAUCUUUAUGUUUGUCCCGUUGCUGUUCCGUGGGGGGGCGGGGGUUUGCCUACGCAGGUGGGAUUUUGGCUGCGAUCUGUGUCCUGACAUGUUCAAGCGAUUGCUCGCCAGUCGUGCCUUCCUUCAUCCUGGAUCUUCUUCUUUCCUGUUUUCCUUUAGGAUUGGCUUAAUUUAGGAUGGCCGUGUUCUUUCCGUCUUUGCUUGUCAGAGAAAUUCUUCAUUUUGCCUAUUUUAA
rnacentral:lncRNA from 1 species